ACGAACGCUGGCGGCGUGCUUCAUACAUGCAAGUCGAACGAGAAAUUCACUUCGGUGGAUGGAAAGUGGCGGACGGGUGAGUAAAAUGUAGAGAAUCUGCCCUAGAGAGGGGGACAACAGAGGGAAACUUCUGCUAAUACCCCAUAUGAGCGUACUUGAGAUAGUAUUCUUGAAAACUCCGGUGCUCUGGGAUGAGUCUGCAUCUGAUUAGCUAGUUGGGGGUGUAAUGGACCACCAAGGCGAUGAUCAGUAGCUGGUUUGAGAGGAUGAUCAGCCACAAUGGGACUGAGACACGGCCCAUACUCCUACGGGAGGCAGCAGUAGGGAAUUUUGCGCAAUGGGGGAAACCCUGAACCGCAGCAACGCCGCGUGACCGAUGACGCCCUUCGGGGUGUAAAGGUCUGUCAGUGGGGACGAACGAUGACGGUACCCACAGAGGAAGCACCGGCUAACUCCGUGCCAGCCGCCGC
rnacentral:rRNA from 1 species